AUUGAACGCUGGCGGAAUGCUUUACACAUGCAAGUCGAACGGUAGAGGGGGCAACCCCUUGAGAGUGGCGAACGGGUGAGUAAUAUAUCGGAACGUGCCCAGUCGUGGGGAUAACGUAGCGAAAGUUACGCUAAUACCGCAUACGAUCUAAGGAUGAAAGCGGGGGAUCGCAAGACCUCGCGCGAUUGGAGCGGCCGAUAUCAGAUUAGGUAGUUGGUGAGGUAAAGGCUCACCAAGCCAACGAUCUGUAGCUGGUCUGAGAGGACGACCAGCCACACUGGAACUGAGACACGGUCCAGACUCCUACGGGAGGCAGCAGUGGGGGAAUUUUGGACAAUGGGCGCAAGCCUGAUCCAGCAAUGCCGCGUGCAGGAUGAAGGCCUUCGGGUUGUAAACUGCUUUGUACGGUAACGAAACGGUGAGCUCUAAUACAGUUUGCUAAUGACGGUACCGUAACGAAUAAGCACCGGCUAACUACGUAGCCACGCAGCCGCGGUAAAGUAG
rnacentral:rRNA from 1 species